rnacentral:rRNA from 1 species
UACGUAGGGUGCAAGCGUUAUCCGGAAUUAUUGGGCGUAAAGAGCUCGUAGGCGGUUUGUCGCGUCUGCUGUGAAAACUGGAGGCUCAACCUCGGGCCUGCAGUGGGUACGGGCAGACUAGAGUGCGGUAGGGGAGAUUGGAAUUCCUGGUGUAGCGGUGGAAUGCGCAGAUAUCAGGAGGAACACCGAUGGCGAAGGCAGAUCUCUGGGCCGGAACUGACGCCGAGGAGCGAAAGCGUGGGGAGCGAACAGG